CGACAGCAGAAAGGUGGCAGCUCAGGUGGAUUUGUACAGAGAGUCACAAAUGAUGCAAGAGAGGACGAGAUGGAUGAAAAUUUGGGGCAAGUCAGUGAUAUUGUUGGUAAUCUAAAAUCCAUGGCAAUUGAUAUGGGAAAAUAAAUUGACACACAGAAUCACCAAAUUGAUAGAAUCAAUGCAAAGGCUGAAUCAAACGAUGUUCGUAUCGGAACUGCAAACCAGAGAGCUCGACAUAUCUUACAGAAUGCUUGAAGAUUAUACAGAUGCACUUUCGAAAGUGUUACAUGUAAAAGAAAUUGAUUGUAUUUAAAUUUCACAAUUGGCCAACUAUGUAACGGUUAGUCACAAUUUACUAAUUAGUCUAAUUAAAAUGCUUGGUGUAUUUUUGAUAUGUUUUAUAAACAUUUGACAAUGAUUGCUGGUCAAUGAA